rnacentral:lncRNA from 1 species
AUUUCUCCUUUUCAUAGUUACUCAAAGGUUUAGAAUGCUUCUCUCAUUCAUCCUCUGUGCUCUGUUGGUGAUUGGAAAACCUCUCCCAAAUGCAAGCCAUAUAAUUUCUUAUUGAGAUUCCAUAUAAGGACAUAGAGACCUGCUCCAUUGUUUACCAGCUGCAGAAUAUGUCAAUUUAUGGAAAUAUCAAAUGUUAUUUUGCAGACUUCUGUUGAUGGAUAUGUAAGUGGUUCCCAACCUUGAGCUUUUGAAACAAUUCUGCUGUGGAUGACCCUGCACAUAUGUUAUCCUACUCUGGUGGCAGAUGCCUGCCAGAAGUUGCAUUGUUAGGUCAGAGAGUGUAUGUGUUUUAAUUUAUAUGGAUGUUGCCUAAUUUCCCUCCUAGAUGAUACAGCAAUCAAGGCUCCCCAGAACCCUUGAACAUAGUGCUAUGAAGUCGGAGCCAUUUGCUGUCCCUUUUACAGAUGAAGACAUUGAGGCUCAGAGAGGGAACCUGAGUGGUGAACAGGUCUCCUCCUGGGCUCCAAGGUGCUGCUGCUGGUUGAUGUCUCUGCUGCCUACGUCCACCGGAAGCAGAAGGCCUGACUCUCCUUUCCUCCUCCCCCGCCAUGUGGGACCCUCAGUCUGUGCUGCCUCCUUCCUUCCUUGAAGGGCUCAGCUGGAGAGAAGGAGCUGGCGAGAAGCUUCCCCAGACUCAGCUCCAAAUGCCUAUCCUCCCAGGACAUCUUCCUGCCCACAGGCUCCUGUUACUCCUUUGCAGAGUCCUUGAUGCUCCAUAGCAGGGUCUUCAUUCAUGGUCCUGAGCAGAGGCCAUGGGAUGGGGCUCUGGGGAGUGACUCACGACACCUCCCUAGGAUGUGGGAAACAUGCCAAAUCUAAACACAUUAGGACUCCUUGCAUCCAUCGCCUUGGGACUGGCCAUAAACCAUAGACUCUCUCUAGCCUCUCAAGAGUUAUUCUGCCAUCUGGAUUCCUGCCUACUCCAACUUCCCAGCCUUGAGAAGUUUGAGAUCUCCCCAGCACAGACAUUUGGACGGAGCAGGCUCCUGAGGUCUCCAGGAUACCCAUCCCAGCCACCUGGCCCCACCCUCCUGGUCCUUUCCUGCUGCUGAUUCUGCUGCUGGGAUGCACAGCUACCUCACUCCUCAGACAACAUAGCAG